rnacentral:snoRNA from 1 species
ACGUUCUUGUGUUAUUUAUUGACGGUCAUCAUUCUUUCGUCAAUAAUUGUCAAAAAGAACGGAUAUUAAACAGCAGCAACAGACCAUUAGUUUUAGUUUUUGUUCUUAAACAAAA